GGCGAAGUCUGACUUCAUUAUGAUAUGUUCCUCCCACACGGGUGAAACUGGAAAAGCUUCCCAAUGGGGAGGACAGGAUUAUAUAAAGGGGCAGACACCCCAAGGCACCGUUCCUCUUCCUGUGUGCCCUCCCCUCCCCUGUCCAUUGAGUCACUGGAUGAGAAGGGGAAAGGAAGCAGCCAUUACACAGAAGAAGGGAUCCUGGCCUAAUGAGUUUGGCCAGUAAGACUGAGCCUAUGGUCUGCUUGGGAUACCAAACUCAUCAUUGUCAGUGUCCAUGCCAUUCCCUACCUGCUGCCAUCCCAGACCCAACAGCCAUGAGAGUGGCACUUAAAAGAAC